CCAAUGUCAUCAAAAUAUCUUAACAUGUAAUACACUUUCUUGAGUAAUCUACACUCGCUCAUUUUGAGCAAUUUUAGCCAAUAACGUAAAAGCCGUAAAAAAAUCUUUAUUGGUUAAAGUGU